AUUGAACGCUGGCGGCAGGCCUAACACAUGCAAGUCGAACGGUAACAGGAAGCAGCUUGCUGCUUCGCUGACGAGUGGCGGACGGGUGAGUAAUGUCUGGGAAACUGCCUGAUGGAGGGGGAUAACUACUGGAAACGGUAGCUAAUACCGCAUAACGUCGCAAGACCAAAGAGGGGGACCUUAGGGCCUCUUGCCAUCGGAUGUGCCCAGAUGGGAUUAGCUAGUAGGUGGGGUAACGGCUCACCUAGGCGACGAUCCCUAGCUGGUCUGAGAGGAUGACCAGCCACACUGGAACUGAGACACGGUCCAGACUCCUACGGGAGGCAGCAGUGGGGAAUAUUGCACAAUGGGCGCAAGCCUGAUGCAGCCGUGCCGCGUGUAUGAAGAAGGCCUUCGGGUUGUAAAGUACUUUCAGCGGGGAGGAAGGGAGUAAAGUUAAUACCUUUGCUCAUUGACGUUACCCGCGGAAGAAGCACCGGCUAACUCCGUG
rnacentral:rRNA from 1 species